rnacentral:lncRNA from 1 species
UGCUCAGUCCAUAUCGUUUACUUGAACAUGUAGGAUGGCUCAUAUCGAAGCUGAUACAUUUAUACAUGUUUGGUUAAAUUUUCGGGGUGGCAAGUGAGAUUACUUUUUUCGUAAAUUGCUGGACCCCGGAAGAUGGUGAAAAAUGUCACUCUCCACAUGAAAUAAUCCCAAAAUUCUGAUCAUAAAACUCAAUAAAAAAAUUGUCCUUUCUAAUAAUUUAUUUCAGGUCAAAUCUACAUAUUUCUUUUCUCAUCACAUCAGCUCUAUAAAACAGUUCUUAUUGUUCAUUUAUGUCCAUUU